AACAAACGCUGGCGGCGUGCCUAAUACAUGCAAGUCGAACGGGGAAAGCUUUCGGGUGAGUACUAGUGGCGCACGGGUGAGUAACGCGUGGAUAAUCUGCCUUAGAGUGGGGGAUAACUAGUCGAAAGAUUAGCUAAUACCGCAUAAGACCACAAGAACUGCGGUUCAAGGGGUCAAAGGUUUUUCGCUCUAAGAUGAGUCCGCGUAAGAUUAGCUAGUUGGUGAGGUAAUGGCUCACCAAGGAGACGAUAUUUAACUGGUCUGAGAGGAUGAUCAGCCACACUGGAACUGAGACACGGUCCAGACUCCUACGGGAGGCAGCAGUAGGGAAUAUUGCACAAUGUAGGAAACUCUGAUGCAGCGACGCCGCGUGAGUGAUGAAGGCCUUCGGGUCGUAAAGCUCUGUCGCAAGGGAAUAACACAAUGAAUGUACCUUGCAAGAAAGGAUCGGCUAACUUCGUGCCAGCAGCCGCCGUAACAC
rnacentral:rRNA from 1 species